AAAUUCGUGCGGAUAAUGUCGCUCGUUUAUUUUGAUACCUGCAAUUGUCUUAAGCCAGCUUUUUCGGAUCGGAAGAUUAGUACUCGCAAUAGAACGACUCUCGUAUAGUGCGUUUGUAGGGCAUGUUGUGGGAAUAAUAGAUAUGCAGGUGGAACAUCAAGUUUGCGGGGUAAAACCUUUCAAAUUCCUAGCUUCACAUUUUACAAAAUACUUCAGCUUCACCCUGUUACCGUGUUAACAAAACUUAAAAUCUGUUAUACUAGUGCAGCUCGCUCUUUCCCACAUAGCUGCAGUUCAUCCGCGCACAUUUGUGACUUUCCUGGGAGUGGGAGACCAAGUGGGUUUUCAGGCUUUCCGGCGUUCGCCCUGCAUAUGAGCAGUCCGCAAAAUGGCAGCGAUAAUUGCGCUGAACUGCCUUCGUGUGGCUGAUCUCAUGAAGUUUAAGGGAAUACCUGGAAAAGUUUAAAAUGCAGAUUAGGGACCAAAUCACCUCAAUUCAGACCAUAAGCAGUAGUCUGUCAGAUUUUUAGGCCCUUCCCACUGUUUUGUAGAAGCCGGAAAUUUUUUAAUUACAUUAAAUCAAGGAAAAGUAAUUCGCACCAAAGUCACGUUUUAUGGACGGCAAAGACAAAAGGCACGUUCGUAUCCAAAUCCAAAAGCCACCCAGACGAGUUUCAUGCCACGUCCACGAUUGUCCAGCCGCAGCCAAGUCAAAAGGAUCCGCAAAACAAAAAUGCAAACUUUCGUAGGCAAAAGUUUCUGCACAUCAAUUACGCCUAAUUAAUCGAAACAGCUAAGGGUAGCCCUGGUUCCUAGUGAGCGCUUCGAAAUGGAGCAACAUCAGGAUUCAAAUAAGCCGGCACAGAAUUUUUGGGUAAAGUGGCUGUGCUGCAGUUGUAGUGCUUUCAUUUUUAAAAAGCUUGUACACUUCACGGUUUUAAGUGCUUUAAAAUAGCCACUCUUAGCUAUUACUAGUAUAGAAAUAUGAAAAUGUAUUUUUUCAAA